CCUACGGAUGGCAGCAGUGGGGGAUAUUGCACAAUGGGCGGAACCCUGAUGCAGCGACGCCGCGUGGGUGAAGAAGCGCCUCGGCGCGUAAAGCCCUGUCAGCAGGGAAGAAAAUGACGGUACCUGAAGAAGAAGCCCCGGCUAACUACGUGCCAGCAGCCGCGGUAAUACGUAGGGGGCAAGCGUUAUCCGGAUUUACUGGGUGUAAAGGGGGCGCAGGAGGCGAUGCAAGCCAGGAGGGAAAGCCCGGGGACCAACCCCGGGACUGCUCUGGGAACUGCGUGGCUGGAGAGCAGGAGGGGCAGGCGGAAUUCCUGGUGUAGCGGGGAAAUGCGUAGAUAUCAGGAGGAACACCGGUGGCGAAGGCGGCCUGCUGGACUGCAACUGACGUUGAGGCCCGAAAGCGUGGGGAGCAAACAGGAUUAGAUACCCCAGUAGUC
rnacentral:rRNA from 1 species